rnacentral:rRNA from 1 species
UACGUAGGGUGCAAGCGUUAAUCGGAAUUACUGGGCGUAAAGCGUGCGCAGGCGGAUUUGUAAGUCUGACGUGAAAUCCCCGGGCUCAACCUGGGAAUUGCGUUGGAGACUGCAAGGCUGGAGUCUGGCAGAGGGGGGUAGAAUUCCACGUGUAGCAGUGAAAUGCGUAGAGAUGUGGAGGAACACCGAUGGCGAAGGCAGCCCCCUGGGUCAAGACUGACGCUCAUGCACGAAAGCGUGGGGAGCAAACAGG